rnacentral:rRNA from 1 species
AUACGAGCGGCAAACGGGAGAGUAACGCAUUAGUAACCUACCUCUAAGACGGGGAUAGCUCCGGGAAACCGGAAUUAAUACCCGAUAGUCAUAAGGGACAUGAAGUCUUCUUAUGUAAACGAUUUAUUGCUUAGAGAGGGGCUUAUGUCUGAUUAGCUUGUUGGUGAGGUAAUAGCUCACCAAGGCUCCGAUCAGUACCGGGCGUGAGAGCGUGACCCGGCUCACUGGAACUGAGACACGGUCCAGACUCC